rnacentral:rRNA from 1 species
UACGUAGGGUGCAAGCGUUGUCCGGAUUUAUUGGGCGUAAAGAGCUCGUAGGCGGCUCGGUAAGUCAGGUGUGAAAACUCUAGGCUCAACCUAGAGACGCCACCUGAUACUGCUGUGGCUAGAGUCCGGUAGGGGAGCAUGGAAUUCCUGGUGUAGCGGUGAAAUGCGCAGAUAUCAGGAGGAACACCAGUGGCGAAGGCGGUGCUCUGGGCCGGAACUGACGCUGAGGAGCGAAAGCGUGGGGAGCAAACAGG